UUCUUUUAGUUUAUGUGAAAAGUAAAACCUGCCCACUGAUUAAUUUUGAAGGGCCGCGGUAUUUUGACCGUGCAAAGGUAGCAUAAUCAUUAGCCUUUUAAUUAGAGGAUGGAAUGAAUGGUUUAACUUUAAUAAAUUUUAUUAGUUUUAAGUAAAUGAAAUUUGAUUGUAAGUGAAAAUACUUAUAUAUUCCUAUAAGACGAUAAGACCCUAUAGAUCUUUAUUCUGGAUUUUAUUAGAUAAUUUGGGGGAGUUAUUUGGUAAGAGAAAGAUUUUAGCUGGGGCAGUUUAAGAAAUAAAAUAAACUUCUUAAGAAAUAAUUUAAUAAAAAUUUUUUGAUCUUACUUAAUAAAUUGAAAAAGUUACCUUAGGGAUAACAGCGUAAUUAAUUUAGAGAGCCCAUAUCGAUAAAUUGGAUUGCGACCUCGAUGUUGAAUUAAGAAACCUUUUUAGGGCAGCUUUUAAAUAAGGUGGUUUGUUCAACCAUUAAAUUCUUACA
rnacentral:rRNA from 1 species